CCUACGGGAGGCUGCAGUGAGGAAUAUUGGUCAAUGGACGAGAGUCUGAACCAGCCAAGUAGCGUGAAGGAUGACUGCCCUAUGGGUUGUAAACUUCUUUUAUAAAGGAAUAAAACGAGGCACGUGUGCCUUUUUGCAGGUACUUUAUGAAUAAGGAUCGGCUAACUCCGUGCCAGCAGCCGCGGUAAUACGGAGGAUGCGAGCGUUAUCCGGAUUUAUUGGGUUUAAAGGGAGCGUAGAUGGGUGUUUAAGUCAGUGGUGAAAGUUUGCGGCUCAACCGUAAAAUUGCAAUUGAUACUGGGAGUCUUGAGUACAGUUGAGGUAGGCGGAAUUCGUGGUGUAGCGGUGAAAUGCUUAGAUAUCACGAAGAACCCCGAUGGCGAAGGCAGCUUACUAAACUGUUACUGACAUUGAGGCGCGAAAGUGUGGGUAUCAAACAGGAUUAGAUACCCUUGUAGUC
rnacentral:rRNA from 1 species